AUUGAACGCUGGCGGCAUGCCUUACACAUGCAAGUCGAACGGCAGCACGGACUUCGGUCUGGUGGCGAGUGGCGAACGGGUGAGUAAUGUAUCGGAACGUACCUUUCAGUGGGGGAUAACGUAGCGAAAGUUACGCUAAUACCGCAUAUUCUGUGAGCAGGAAAGCAGGGGAUCGCAAGACCUUGCGCUGAUUGAGCGGCCGAUAUCAGAUUAGCUAGUUGGUGGGGUAAAGGCCUACCAAGGCUACGAUCUGUAGCGGGUCUGAGAGGAUGAUCCGCCACACUGGAACUGAGACACGGUCCAGACUCCUACGGGAGGCAGCAGUGGGGAAUUUUGGACAAUGGGGGCAACCCUGAUCCAGCCAUGCCGCGUGAGUGAAGAAGGCCUUCGGGUUGUAAAGCUCUUUCGGCCGGGAAGAAAUCGCAUCAGCUAAUACCUGGUGUGGAUGACGGUACCGGAAGAAGAAGCACCGGCUAACUACGUG
rnacentral:rRNA from 1 species